rnacentral:ncRNA from 1 species
CAGUAGGAUAAGAUGUGCGCACUAUUGGAUGUGCGUCUAAGCAUUUAGGCAUGCUUGAUAGGCAAAUCCGUCAGGCUAAGCUGAGAUGUUAUGGGGAGCCAAAUGUGGCGAAGUAUCUGAUUCCACACUGCCAAGAAAAGCCUCUAUCGAGUAAAUAGGUGCCCGUACCGCAAACCGACACAGGUAGGUGAGGAGAGAAUCCUAAGGCCAUCGGAAGAAUUGCUGUUAAGGAACUCGGCAAAUUGACCCCGUAACAUCGGGAGAAGGGGUGCCUACGAAAGUAGGCCGCAGAGAAUAGGCCCAAGCAACUGUUUAGCAAAAACACAGGUCUCUGCUAAAGCGAAAGCAGAUGUAUAGGGGCUGACGCCUGCCCGGUGAUGGAAGGUUAAGGGGAACACUUAGCGUAAGCGAAGGUGUGAACUUAAGCCCCAGUAAACGGCGGCCGUAACUAUAACGGUCCUAAGGUAGCGAAAUUCCUUGUCGGGUAAGUUCCGACCCGCACGAAUGGCGUAAUGAUUUGGGCACUGUCUCAACAGCAAAUCCGGCGAAAUUGUAGUGCAAGUGAAGAUGCUUGCUACCCGCGAUUGGACGGAAAGACCCCGUAGAGCUUUACUGUAGCUUAGCAUUGAAUC